UGCGUUUGUCAGGCAGGUACGCUGCCACUGAGCUAAAUCCUCAGCCCAUUUUGCUCUUUAUUAGUAUUUCCUUUGAGAUUUUAUAAUUGUGCUUGGAGGUAUGGAUCUCCAUACACCAGUGCUUUUUCUUGUUUGUCUUCUAGUUGGUGUCUGAUAUCGCUCUCUGAUGCCUGUUUCUCAUUCCUGCUUUAGUCUGUGUGACUCUGUCUAUAAAAUUGCUUUUCUAUCCCUCCUUCCAAUUUUUCUGUAUUUCAUGCAUCAGAUCUCUCUCUCACCCCAGUUUCUCCUUAUUACAGCCCCCCCACCACCGUGCAAGGACCACAUCCUCCCUUUCAGCUUCAGCUUUGUCAGAAUCCAGCUCCAGUGUUAACAGCAACCAUGUUCUCUGGCAGAACGGACACUUAGGAAGUCUGUGUGUCCUGCACUGGCGAGGCGUGGGGCUCGCUCUCCCGGAAGAGCAGGACUCACCAAGCCGUGGGACCUCGCGGUGGUCAGUGCGGUGUCACACACACUUGUCCUCAGCAUGUCUUCUCUUCUUCACACUGUAGAGGCCUCGUUCGUCAGUAAGGAACAAAGGAAGAGCUACAUCGACAGCAUCUGUACUCUUGGCGGACGGCUUCUCCAAGCAGCAGAGUCUUCUUUCUCUUGUCUUCCAGCUCUUCUCUCUCAGAUAUCUGUUUCUUGUUUCUGCAUUUAUCUGGGUGGUUUUCCUCCCCACGUGUCUGUUUCCUCCUUUCUGUUUUCCAGUUUAUCCCUCACUCACUCCAGUCCCUCGCCACGGCCUUUCCCUAGUUACACCCCUCGCCCAGCGUCCCGGGCACCCUCUCAGCUGAGCUGCCCCACGGGAACGCCAGCUUUCAGAUCAGCAUCCCCUCUCGGUGAACAGGUGGACCCUGCUGUGCUUGGUGGGGACAGGGGAGAGAUGGGUGGGACUGACCCUGUGAUCAUCUGUGGCUGUGCUGAGCCGGAAGUGGUUUGCUGGGAGCACUGCGCUAGCCAGGCCUGACUGGCCGCCUCCUGCAGAUGAGGCCGGGCCCCCGGGGGAGAACAGGAGACAAGAGGGCGUCUCAGACCAAGGCCUGGCUGGGAAGAGGAUCGCCUUCCCGCCCAUUCGUGAGGUCCUGCAGACUUUAGCUACUCUCCUGGCUCCUGUCACAGACCAGCCCCCUAUCUCUACCCCUGUAAAUAAACUCGCUGCAUUUGCCCGAGGUCUUUUUCUCGCAUCAGGAGGAAGAGCCCCACCUGGCUCCGCCUUUUGUAUCUCUUUGUCUUAAUCUCCCACCACUGUCUUUUCACUCCGCAGAUCCUUCAGUCACGAAGGCAGGCCGUGGUCUGUUCUGCUGACUCUACUUCCUUUCACAACAAAACAUCAUUCACUGCAGAAGGGCGUUGUAAGAGGCCAGAAGUCUUAAAGAUGCUUGGGGGCCGAUGUGGGAUGCGUCACAGGACUCCUGACUGUGCCCUUCGGGGUCACCGUGCUGUUGUGUCCCUGCAGGCCCGUCAGGGUGACCAGCGGGACAGUCUCACCCUUAUUCAGGAUGCCGUGCCGAUGCCUCUUACCAUGUGAAGGCACCAGAUGUGGGGCCAGGGAAGGAAAUAACGAGGUGAACCCUAGUAGAUUCUGCUUCACCUGUUUGCCAGCCCAGCCUCAGAGCCAAAUGAUCAUGGACCGAACCCUCUACAACUGUGAGCUGAAUAAGCCCCUUCCCCUCCAACUUUGGGUGUUGGGUAUUUUGUCUCGGCAACAAGAGAAAGGUAACGAACACACUGGAUAAAUUUAGAUGUGAUGUCUCACACUUUAAACUGAAGAAAACUCAUAAAAUUAAUCACGUGUAUAUUUUCAUAGCAACCCCAAAUAUCCUAUUAAACCCUUUUCAUGAAAAAGUAUCUUAAGUAUGCCUUCAGGAGUUUACAUGCUCCCCAAGUCCACUGAAGGGCCCUGACACCCUGAGGGAACAGGUUCCCAUCCCAAAGAUCCUGUGGGACGGCGUCCUGGGCCGUGUAGCACACUGUGGAGGGAUGGGAUGGGUGACAGAGGGCGUGAGGCACGGUUAAUGUCCGCACCUGCCUGGGGUUGCGGAGAAGCAUGUGGUGGGGCACACCCUCACCUCGCAGUGUCUAACCCACCCUUUCCUCUUCUUAGCCUGUGUUUCCUUUGUUUGUAAAAAAAAAAAAAAAAAAAA